CAAGUAGCCUUCUCCUCGUUUGACACCUACUUCCACUGUUUUGCUCCCGCUCUGCUCUGCUCUUCUCUUGCUGUGUUGUACCCUUUUUAUCUCCCCGUAGUCUUCUCUACCACUCUGUUGAGAGAUGUACCUAUCUAAGUGGAGGAUGAGUGGAGCUGAGCAAUGGAGCCGAGAAUGGCAAGUGGGGCUAGAAGGAGGAUCAAGAGGACGGCAGAGAGGAUAUGAGGUACUUGAAGAGGAAGGAGAUGCCGUGGAUGCUGCAAUUUAUUGCUGCCAAAAUCCAAUCUGAAACCCUGAAGGACACACAUAAGAAAAAUAGAGCGGAGGUCAUAAGAAUUACCCGGUGGAAGGAUUCUCCGCUGCACAAGUAUGAGAAUAAGAUGUAACGUAUGAGGGAGAAAGAUCUGGUGACGUAACAAGUAUGUCGAAAGCGAUGGGUCGCCCAAUGGAGAUCUGUCCAACUUUUUUUUUUCAUUAGAAAAAAACUGUUUCCCUUUUUUUUUAGUACCAUAUAUCAACAUGCGAUUGGAGGUCGGAUUUGGAACACAUCACCACGGUUGUCGACCAGGGGGAGGCAGCGAUCCCCGGCAAGCGGGUGGUCGACGCGCUGGGAGACCUUAAGCAUGCUGAUGUAGCUGUGCCGGGACUUGAAUUUGGCGUUGUUGGCUGGGAUGCCAUCGUCGUCGUCCUCGGCACGGGGAUUCUUGGGGCAUCAGAUAGAUUGCGUUGUCGGAUUUUUGACGGCUUGUCGGGUCGUGCUAGGUUUUGCUAAUCGAGAGAGGUUGGAGGGAUGGUGUGUUUUUCUUUUAUUUUUUUCAAUUGUUAUUAUGUUUUAGAAUCCUUAGAGGGCAAGACUCAUGGAGUAGCCAAUGAAGAAGCGAAAAGUCCGGAUCCCGGUCCAAGGUAACAUAUUAACCUUCGAUGCUUAUUUAUGGAUUAGAAACGCAGCUUGCAUGUCUUAUGUCUUCUUUUUUCGUGAGCAAAUCGUGGCAGAGAAGACUUGUAUCUUAUUCACCAAAUGAUGCCCGUAAAUAUUGUGCAGACCACUUUCUUGCUA